rnacentral:rRNA from 1 species
CAGUCGCCACGGGAAUACGUAGGUGGCAAGCGUUGUCCGGAAUUAUUGGGCGUAAAGCGCACGUAGGCGGUUAUUCAAGUCAGAGGUGAAAGCCCGGGGCUCAACCCCGGAACUGCCUUUGAAACUAGAUGACUAGAAUCUUGGAGAGGUCAGUGGAAUUCCGAGUGUAGAGGUGAAAUUCGUGGAUAUUCGGAAGAACACCAGUGGCGAAGGCGACUGACUGGACAAGUAUUGACACUGAGGUGCGAAAGCGUGGGGAGCAAACAGGAUUAGAUACCCCUGUAGUCCCUGUCUCUUAUAC